GCCCAGACUGAAUUAGAUCCUUCCUCCCACAUAUUUUGGCUGAAAGGUCGCUCUUCCUUCUCUCACUCGUGUUUCCUGGGCGCGAAACCUGGUUUCUCCGCCAUCGAAUUAGCAGAGGAGCAAAGGUUACUCAGAUCUUGGCGCUUUGACGAAAACAGGAUUUUCCUUGGCUCUUCACCUGAGAAUCUGGGGGUACAACACGUGACAGCAUGGGGCUCCCCUAAGACUGUGGUCCCAGGCAUUUCUCCUCUCCAGCUCGCCCACCUGUCACCCAGUGUGGACAUCGCCACCUCUGCGUCCUUGCCAUUUCCAGCUGCAGUGCUUCUCCCCAGUGUCCAGGUGGCCCGAGGGCGGCACGUGGAGGUCGGCUGCUUUUUCCUAAGACCUGUUUUGCUCCUGCCUCGUGGAGGAACAGCCCAUGGUGCUCCUCCGUGUGUUUGGCUCCAUGGAAGACGGAAUAGUGAGCCCCGAGUGUUCUUCGUCAGCAGUUUUAAUGAGGAGGGACUCGCGAGGAUCUGCUUCCGCUUCACCCCAGAGCAGACCCGGAGGAAGAACGUUUUCUGCAUCUGGAAAAUUCUGCAACCCUGGGGAGGCCGCCUUCUUCGGAGCCCGCCCUCCCCAGCCGUUUACCAGGCUGCCUUCUUGAUGACAGACCGAACAUGUGAAACUUUGGGCGACAAGGAGGCUGAUCAUUAG
rnacentral:lncRNA from 1 species